UUUUGUCUGUUGUGGGUGUACAUGGAUUUAUUUGAAUCCCUGUUUUCAGUGAACUUGAGUGUAUACCUGGGAGUGGCAUUGCUGAAUGAUAUGCUAAUUCUAUGUUUAAGACUGAUGCAUUUAUUGUCUAUCAACCAAUAGGAAGAGAAACUUUGGCAGUCAGAUAUUGUUUAACAGAUGAAGUGGUUUCUGUUGGACACUUAAGUACUGCUACAAAU
ensembl:scaRNA